rnacentral:pre_miRNA from 1 species
UUUACUUGGCUGGACAGAGAAAUCACGGUCAAGUCUCUUCUUGUUCAGGAAACGAUUGAUGAUUUCUUCUUCAUCUGGUGGAUGGAA